rfam:Bombyx mori DNA, contig: Bm_scaf203_contig41523, strain: p50T/Dazao, build 2, whole genome shotgun sequence.
UUAAUUGAAAUUUGUAUGGAGUUGGAACGUUUGCCUACGUUUUGCCGCUAGAGGCGCUGUUCCCACUCCAUACAAAUUUGAGUUA